rnacentral:lncRNA from 1 species
GUCCUGAGCGCCCACCCCACUUGCUGUCAUGGAGCUUGUCCUGGCUUAGUUUUGCCCUCCUGAAAAACACGGAGGCUUUUGCAUGCUCUCUGCAGGCUGCAGAAAAGCAGAGGAAACUCACAGAGAAAGCACUUUGAGAGUGAAGAGGCCGGAGCGCUGGGUGUGGCUCAGAAGGCAGUGAUGACAAUCAGUUCUGGCUUGUGGCUAGCUCAGGGGGCAGUGUGGCUCUGCUGCAGCCCUUUCCCUCUGCUGCAUCCCCUCUCAGAAGCAUUCUUCCCCUGCCCCAAUUGUCUCUGGGGACCAGUGCUUUCUUCUCCCUCUGCCUCCCCCCCCCCUCUAGAUUUUUUUCUCAAGAGAGGAUCUGGAAAACUUUUCACUCA